CUCAGUGGUCGUGUAGUGUUGUGCGGUUGUUGGCCGGUUGGUGCGGGAUGUGCCGGCUCCGUUCAACAUGCUGGCCGCUCGCCACGCCAAGUACCUGGGUUCGUUCCCGGCGGGCGGCGGCGAACACGAGGCUCGCGUCGAGACCGUCUCGCGGCGUCUGCAUCUCAUGAAGCAGGAGAGCGGGCACGCGGUACGUGUGUUGGUG
rnacentral:misc_RNA from 1 species